GUUUCUUGUCAGAGAUCCCUGUCUACCUGAGACCAAUUCAGAGUGGCUGUAAGCAUAUACAGUUCAGUCAUGUAUAGAGCUUGCAAGGAGGUGGGACAUGCUUAGCAAAGAGACACUGUCUCGGGAGUUCAGCUAUUAAGCUCCGGCAAGUCUUUGAGGAAAGGUGGCUACUUCUCAGUAGCGGCUUUACCACCUCAUCACUGUACUCUGCUUGGCAAAGAGGUUCUUCAAGCACUGCUCCACAGAAGGAGAGCCACUUAAGAAAGGGAGGAAUCAAUACAACUCAAUGGAUUGCAGACUGAUCCUCAUUUCAAACAUACCCCAAAGCGUAAGUCUGAGCUGUGA